UACGAAGGGUGCAAGCGUUAAUCGGAAUUACUGGGCGUAAAGCGUGCGUAGGCGGUUUGUUAAGUCUGUUGUGAAAUCCCCGGGCUCAACCUGGGAAUGGCAAUGGAUACUGGCAAGCUAGAGUGUGUCAGAGGAUGGUGGAAUUCCCGGUGUAGCGGUGAAAUGCGUAGAGAUCGGGAGGAACAUCAGUGGCGAAGGCGGCCAUCUGGGACAACACUGACGCUGAAACACGAAAGCGUGGGUAGCAAACAGG
rnacentral:rRNA from 1 species